CUAUCCGAGGGUGUGUUUCGAACGAACACUUUUCAAGGGAUGGGUGUCUCUUGAAAAAAAAAAAGAAAGAAGGAAAGAGAGAGGAAAAAUAACCAACCCUGGGGUGCGUACUCUUAUUUCGAAACCGUGGAAUUUAUUGGCACGUCGAGUGCAUCGCGAGGGAUGCAAUGCCAAGGGUAAACACGCGCGAGCGAUAAUUUUCUUUUCGCGCCGAGUCGAGUGUGGAUGGAUCGAGGGGGUUGCGCGCGAGCGAAAAUUCGCCGGAAAUCGGGCUAAAACGGGAUGUGAAUGUGGAUGGAUCGGGAGAUUACCGGCGCGAGAACUAUCGUCGAAUGCGAAUCUCAAUUCGGUUAAAAUUCCACCCGUUUCCCCGAACCGGAAUCCGAAAAGUGGUUUGCCAUACUCUUCUACCGAUCCACUCAUCCUUCCCAGUGCAUUUCUUCCAAGCGGAAGAAGAAGAAGAAGAAAAAGAAACGAGAAAGAAGACGGAAGAAGGAGACAGACAGAUUAAAACGACAGAAGGAGAAAGAGAGAAGGAGAAGCAGGAUGAGAGAGAACGGGUUGGCGGAGAGCGAGCUAGGAAGACGGCUCGCCUGGCUUUAUUAAAAUAUAAUGGCGUUAUCAGCCGAGAAGAGAACGAAGGGAGAGGCGUUAGCUUUAAGAGGGAAGUUUUCUUAAGUGUUCUUAAUUAGAAGGGACCUGUUGCUUCGGAAAAAACCGGGUCACGGCCGUAGACACGCCGACGACGCCUCCCUCCCCCCUCUCCUCCCCUUCCUCCCCCUCUGUUCCUCCUACGCGACGCCCCCUCAGACGCUGCAGACUCGGCCGCCGCAGCACCAGACUCAGGCGACGCGUGCAGCAGAACGUCAGCGACGAGUAACACGCCGGGGAGGUUGAAGAAGGGAAAAUUCUCUGAGGGUUGGAGAUGACGUUUG